GGAAAAGUAAUUGUUCGCUCUGAUUUUCAAUAGUAACUAGUUUGGUGGCAGUUGUGUGAAAUAAAUUCACCGACCCCCUGCCCAUUGUUUGCAGUGUUGUACAUCUGAGAGUAAUGUCGAUUGUCGAUGGUUCAAUUUACUGUGUUUUCCACUUUGGUUUAAUCCGACCACUCGUUAUUGGGAGGUGAAGCGAGGAUGAUCAUCGAUGUUUAAAACACGAAGUCCAUUGACAAAUUUUACAACGAGAAAAUUACGCCAAGGCAAUGACUAACCAGUGCUGCAGCCUGCAAAGAACAAAUAUACUUAUUUCAAUUUUUAUUGUCACCUCGCGAUAGAUUUUACAAAUUCGGUUCAUUAAAAAUUGAUUAUGACAUCACAAUAACACAAAACUGAAGUGGGAGACUGGAUCAAUCAAUCAAACCCCGCAAAUAUAUACUAGGGUCAUACAUCCCUCCGUCCCAAAUGAAUUAUAUACAGUUUUUUUUUAACGUCCCACCAAUUGUAUACAUUUCAAAAGUAAUAAAUUUUUAUAAUAUAAAAUAUUAUUACACCAACCAUUUUUUUCCACUAUCUCCAUUUUAUAAUAAUAUAAACACUAUUACACACACUACUUUCUUCCACGGUCUCAAAUCUAUUAUUAAUUAUAAAUAGAUCCCACCACUAUACUCAUUUUUCAUCUAACUUUACUCAUUUCUUACUUAAUUUCUUGGUUUUUGUGUCUCAAUCAUUUGUACCAGGACGGAGGGAUCAGCACUUUUCACCAUUUGUUUGGAAUAAAUAUAUAUAGAGUUGGGCUCCUUGGAGACCCACAUAAUUGGAGUCCUUGGAGUCCUAGAUCUAGACCAUUCAAUUAGCAACACAACUGACGGUUGAGAUUAAAAGCAGCAAAACAAUUUAAAAUUAAAAUAAAAGACUGAAAAUCUGAGAUACAUUGAGAUAUACGGAAGAGAGAGGAUACACAUACUAAAUAUACUAUAUGAUAUUAAGGAGCACCAUUAUCCCGCACUUUACUCAACAAAGUUUGGCAAUUACAAUUAAAGUUAUUCUGCACGUGUUUCAUCACAGUAGAAGAGUGAAGAUACAAUUGGCUUCUUGAAAUCUCAAAGGGCGUUGUUUUUUUUGGCCAACAGAACACAAGCUAGCAGUGCAUGUGAGAUUUAUGUUCCUCACAUGUAUUGAUUAUACUAUUAUAGUUUUGUUUUUUUUUGGGUUUCAGGGUUUGUUGUUAUAAUGUCGAAACUUUGUCCUUUGAGUAAUUGUGCUGCACUUUCUCCAUAAAAUCAAAUCUAAGUACGAUCAAGAUAAACACAACAAUGCAUAUCAAGUGCAAGACCGAGGGAUCGAAGAUUGGGUGUUUCAAACCACUUUGCAUCAUUGUUGCAGAACAUCAAAGAUAAACAUAGGAUUGAUGAAGAACUGCAGAACAAUUGUAGAAGAAGUCUAAUAAAUGAUAACAUCUCAUGAAUUUGCAGAACAACCGGAAUCUUGCACAGUUGCGGAACAAUUGGAUUAAUGUUCUUCUUCAACUAUCAUUUGCAGAACAGGAAGAUGUACAUGCGGAGAGAUGAGAGAGUUGAGAGAUUAGUGGAGGAAGUGGUGCUUGUAACUGCCAAUGAUAGAUGCUUUAUGUGUAUACAUACGCUCCACAGAAGAAACAAAACAAUUGAAAAAGAAUAUUUUAAUUAUACAAUGAAAGUAUAUCAGCGGUUGGAUUAUAAAUAGAUAAAGGGUCAUGAUUUAGGUCUCCAAGUCUCCAAUAAUUUGGGGUCUCCACAUAACUUAGGCCAA
rnacentral:lncRNA from 1 species